UGGGGAAUAUUGGACAAUGGGCGAAAGCCUGAUCCAGCCAUGCCGCGUGUGUGAAGAAGGUCUUCGGAUUGUAAAGCACUUUUAAGUUGGGAGGAAGGGCAGUUACCUAAUACGUGAUUGUUUUGACGUUACCGACAGAAUAAGCACCGGCUAACUCUGUGCCAGCAGCCGCGGUAAUACAGAGGGUGCAAGCGUUAAUCGGAAUUACUGGGCGUAAAGCGCGCGUAGGUGGUUAGUUAAGUUGGAUGUGAAAUCCCCGGGCUCAACCUGGGAACUGCAUUCAAAACUGACUGACUAGAGUAUGGUAGAGGGUGGUGGAAUUUCCUGUGUAGCGGUGAAAUGCGUAGAUAUAGGAAGGAACACCAGUGGCGAAGGCGACCACCUGGACUGAUACUGACACUGAGGUGCGAAAGCGUGGGGAGCAAACAGGAUUAGAUACCCCCGUAGUCCCUGAGCGGGCUGGCAAGGCGCAU
rnacentral:rRNA from 1 species